CGGGGCGGUGCCGCGGGGCAUGCAGCGGGGCGGGGAGGAGGUGCGGGAGGAGCAGGAGGGUGAGGAUGAGGAUGAGGAUGGCGGCCCGGAGCGGGCGCUGGAGAAGAGCCCGUUCGAGCUGACGGCCGGGGACGUGUAUGACAUCUCGGCCGUGGUGGGCCGGGACCUACGGCAGCUCCGCUCGGCGCCCGCCGCGCUGCCGCGGCUGCAGUUCAGGAUCGUGCGGGUGCUGGAGAUGCUGGAGGCGCUGGUGAGCGGCGGCCCGGCCCGGGACAGCCUGCGGGGGCACCCGGGCCCACAGCCCCAGCUCAGCCUUGGACCAGAUAAAAUGGUAAUAGACCUCACAGAUCCAAACCGGCCCCGGUUCACAUUACAGGAGCUGCAAGAUGUAUUGCAGGAACGUAACCAGCUGAAAGCUCAGCUUCUUGUUAUGCAAGAGGAGCUACAAUGCUACAAGAGGAUGGAAAGAGGAACAGCCACUUGCCUUGCAGGGAAGCUGGGAAUCUCCCAUCUGUUCCCAGCUGUGUGGUGUGAGCCUUUGGUGUCUGCGCUGAAGUGGGAUCAUCUCACAGAAAAGAGACCAAGCUGAAGAACUAGAAAAAGCAGCCAGCGGCAGCAGCCCUGGCACCAGCAGGGACAGUGAAGAGAAGACAAUCAUCAAACGACUGUUCUCUUUUAAACAUGGAAAAUGAGCAUUCUCAAGAAGUGGCACUGAUGGCUGCCUCUAAGGCAUCAGGGAGUCAACGACUGGAAGAGAAAGCUCCUGCUGUAGCAAAGAAGCACUCAAAAAUUGUGUUGUAUAAUAUUCUUUCAGAAUAGAUUUUACUUCACUGUUUUAGGAACUGUUUUAAACAAACCCUUUUUAUAUUUCUUAAGAUUCCUACCAGACAUUACACACAUGUAGAGAAUAAACGUUUAUACAAAGGCGAUUUUUAUUCUUAGUAGAAGAGCCUGUGAUCUGUACCAUCACAUAUUUAUCCUGCCCACCCAUAAAAGUGUUCAGCCCUAAUGAUUUUGCAGGAUGAAGAUAUUUAAGAGCUACAGGCCAUUCAGAAGUGCAUUCGUAGAGAAGUGCUGGGAAGGAAGUACCCAUUCAGAUUGCAGUCCCCACUGAUCUUCUGCAGACAGUAAUUAUCCUACACCAACACAGAACUACUUGAAGAAAACGCCACCGUGGCUUUUGUCUUUCUUUGCAUUAGCUGGGCAAUAUGCAGGCAGAAGCCUGUCACACCCAGCCCCACAAAAGGACAAUGCACUCAGGCUGUGACAACAGAGCCCCUGCACACCCCAGAGUGGCUGUUUGAGGUAGAGAUGAAAGAUGAUGAAAAGCACAGCAAGGGAAGAAAAGCUGCUGCAUCACACUCUGCCCAUGUGAAGGACUGACGUCUCUUUCAGAGGUGCAGACAUGCUCCAACUGGAACAGAUGCACCAAACAUUUCACUUUCAACAGCUACAGCUCUCCCACAGUAGACAGUUGUGUUUUUCAUAAUCUCUCUUCUUUCAGUCAGAUGUCACAAGCUGUGCAUUAGCCCAGGUAAUGAGAUUUAUUAUGAGUGGAAGCAUAUAGGGCAAACAAAGGAAUAGAAAGAGAAGCUCAAAAGAUAUCAAUUAGAAAAGUAGAAUUUCCAGAGCAGAAAGGCCUGAACAGACAUAAAAGCAGCAGUGACAGGUAUCAAGCUAUGAUCUUGCUAUCUUCAGAAGUGAAAGCAGGCUCUGAAAUCUUUUGAUUCCCUCUUGUACGCUAGCAACAUGAAAAAUAUAGGACACUUCAUACAUCUGCUCAGAUGCACAAUGUGGAUGUGGCUUUGCAGAAGCUAGAACCACAGUCUCCUUUCAGAGAGAAUUGGUUAGCAAGGCAACAUCAAAGACAUCUGAACUAAGCAGGCUGGUUUAGCCAGGGCACACAACUGCCAAAGUACUUUUGCCAUCUUCAACAUACUAAUAAGCCUUGGCCAGGUCCCCACAAGGGAUUUUUUGGAGCAGGGUAGCAGGGAAGGAAGUUACUGCAUUUCCUUAGCAGAGGCUUUGUGUUUAGAAGGGUGGAAACCCAACCACCACCAAUUAAUCACUCGCCAGCAAGAGCUACAAUACAGCUCUGAGCUGAAGAGACUUUCAUGUGUGCUCUGAACUCCAUCCUCUCCUGUGGUUUAACCCAGGAAAGCAUUUUCUAAUCACCAUUAAAAAGGUGGGACUAUGCCCCAGAACACACUAAUCACUAAGUCUUAGUGAAACAACUUCAGGUAAUGAACUGCAUAGAUGAAACAGCUAAAGUACCACCCUGCCGCAGAGAUGGAAGACUGUAACAUAGCCCUAGGCCACUCUCCACAAGCAGUGGAAAGAGACAAUAAUGAAAGCUGCAAUUAUUCAUUUAAGAUGUUCUUUAUGAAAAAAUAAUAAUAAAAAAAGAGGGGGGAGUUCACUAGCUAAAGCAGUCAGGAAAGCACCUCAGCCUUUUUGGGCUGGUCUUUCUGGGGAACCAUUACAGUUACAUUUCCUCUGGUGCCAAGUGAGCUGCACAGCUGCUUUCUCAAAACAGGAAGAAAUUCCUCAGCUAGAGCUACUUCAGAAGAGGUUCCUGUCCUGUUAGAGCAACCCUGCUGCCUCUGGCAAAGCCACACGAGCCUGACAAAGGAAGCUUAGCUCCCAACCCAAGUGCGUCUUUUUGCCUGCUGAGUGUUUUACACCUUACCAGAAGGGGAAACCUUCCUAUAAGGAACAAGGAUAAAAAUCCAAAUGGCAUGUUUCAGCAAAAAGUACUCUUGAAAUAAUAUACACAGAUCAGUUCCUAAGAAAGUAAAGUAUACUUAUUCAGUGCAACAUCAGCUUUAUUACCAUCUUCCGAUGCAGUGCUACUUGAUUACCUGUUAAGCGUUUCAGAGAAGACAAUAUUUUUAAUGUGAAAUAGGGAGAGAUCUUCCCCCUUUCUCAUUUACAAAAGUGAUGCUGAAGAACAGAUAUUUUAAGCUAUUUGACCUGAGAGCGAAUGAGCAAAUAUUUAAAUAAAAAGAAAUAAACAAAAAAAAAGCAUUUUAUUCCAAUUUUGACUUCAAGGAAGUGCUCUAGUAAAACAGGAUACUGUACACAUUGCUGUAGUCUCUGUUACUGAGACCAGAGAAAAAAAUCAGUGCUAACCCAAACAAGUCAGCCAACGAAACUUACCUGUAACUUGAUAUCCAUAAGGUAACAUGUCUCCAGUUAAUUCUUCAGAAAUG